rnacentral:lncRNA from 1 species
AAGAAUCUGAGAAGUUGCAUGAACAGAUGAAGAUUCAGCCAUUGUUGCAGGUUGGGAGAAGAAGAUGACCGGGAGAGAGUGGAAGAAGUUGCAUGAACAGAUGAAGAUUCAGCCAUUGUUGCAGGUUGGGAGAAGAAGAUGACCGGGAGAGAGUUUGGAAGUAGUUUUGCUUUGUAAAUUAUGGGGGCAGUAAAGAGGUAAAAGGUGGUGUUGAUGGGUUUUUAUAGUAGGUGAUAGGAGAGAGAAAAAUCGUUUCAAAUCUCUUAUGGANAGUGACUGAUUGGUGACAGUUGGGACGUGCGAUGAUCACGUAGGAGAGAGAGUGUCAGAUUCCUAGGAUCACGCCGCCCAAUAAGCGCCGGUUCAGAGAGAGGAACCGUUUCCAUUUCCACACGCGCCAUUAAUGCCAGAUUGAUGACGCUUCAAAUACGUCAUUUGAAUUUCUAUCCAUUUAACUCCCGCCGAGUCAGCAACUUUUUGUCUUUUCCCCUUUUUAACCAGCUGUAUUCAAUUUAGGACCCACGUGGCUGAUGUUUGGCCUCAACUUCAUUAGUAACGCUUCAGU